rnacentral:lncRNA from 1 species
GUUGCGGGCAGCCCACGGAUCAGGUGAUGUUCAGAAAAGAUGAAGAAACUGUGGCCCAGAGAGGUGAAACAACCCAGCCGAUGUCACGUCGUAGCUAAGAUGACAGCUAUUGGCCUGUACCUCGGCCCUCAAGUUUCCCAUGCAAUGUGCUUCCUACUAUUCAUUGUUGCCCCGUCUCUAGAAAUGCUGUAAAAAUCUACACAGAAAACCUGACCGUCUAUGUGGUUCUUGCGGAGGAAUGAAAAGAAACAUGGCAAAUGAGGAACAGGUUGUUAUCAAAUGGACCCUGCCAGACUGAAUUUCUUCCUGCAAAGAGGACAGUCCAGGUCUGCUGAUGGGUUUCCAACACAGGAAACUCAGGGGU